rnacentral:lncRNA from 1 species
CUAUUAAGUGCCCAGGCGGUGGUUCCCUUCUAAAAAAAACUUUCCUAAUUUAAUUCUUUUCCGAAACAGAAAAACAAAAGUGAAUAAAAAGGAAACAAAUCAAAUAUUUAAUAUGGGGUAUUAUAUACCAAAAAAAUCAGAAAAAUAUCCUCUACCCGAAUAACAUUUUUUCAAAGCAAAAAUAAAAACUUUUAAAAAAAUGUUUUUUCAGAAAUUCCCCAAAAUGCUUUAUUUUCUUUUUGCAAAUAUUUUUGCAAAUAAACUUUGGAUUUUUGGUUCCAAUAUUUCAGAAAUGCCCGCACUUUGGAGGGUCAUUUUCCUCCGCUCUCUCUCUUGCGUGCAAGAGAGUAUUUCCCCGGGCAUGUCUCGUGUGAGGAAAAUUAGAAAUGCAAAAACAAAAGUCGAAAAAAUUCAAAUGCCAACUUUAUUUCAAUCAAUAUGCAUAAAUGCUUAGCUACAAUGUAAAACAUUUUCAAUUAAAAAAAUUGGGAUGUUACAGUUUGUGAUCAGUCACUUUAAGAACAUAGGGUUUCUAGAGAUAAUAAACCUGCGGUUAUCAGCAUUAUAAUCCUGAAUGAAUAUGAAACAUCAGUUGAAGAAUCUAUAUCCAUAAAAAAAAAGAGAAAAGGGAAAAAUUAAUAGAGGAAUUAAUCAUGGUCAGAUCGGACCAGCCUGACUAGUGUAACAUAAUGACAACCGUAGUUUGUCUCGUAGCAAUUUGCAUGAUGAAUUGAGGCGCAAACCCACUCAAAUAUGUUGUCCUACCAAUCAUGAGGAAAUAACCUGUUACCAAAAAAAGUAAUUCCCACCAUUGUUUCGAUAUCCAUCCUCUUGUGAACAUGCUAUUGGCAAUGACAAAACAUUGUAUCUUGCCACUGGCAACAGCUUCCUUCACUCGCCCUGAGCAUCUCAUCAAGGAAUUCAUAAUUUUUCCUCUUGGUUGUGAAAAUCUUGCUAUUUUUUGUUUGCCUCCUAUGGCAAUGUUUUUUUCCUUACAAUGCGAUCAAAUUGUAUAUAAAAGCAAUUCCAAUGUGCCGGCGAAGUUUUUUUUGCUUUUUAUCCGUUUGGAUCGGUCGAGCGGAUGGACAUGUCUGGUUUUGCCUUUGGGUGCAUGGGCGCAUCCUAUGCAACCAACGCAUUAGUCCGUGCGGGAAUUUAAAAAAAAAUAAAAAGAUUAAAAUAUUUAAACAUAAAUAAAAAUGCA